UACGGAGGGAGCUAGCGUUGUUCGGAAUUACUGGGCGUAAAGCGCACGUAGGCGGCUUUGUAAGUUAGAGGUGAAAGCCCGGGGCUCAACUCCGGAACUGCCUUUAAGACUGCAUCGCUUGAAUCCAGGAGAGGUGAGUGGAAUUCCGAGUGUAGAGGUGAAAUUCGUAGGUAUUCGGAAGAACACCAGUGGCGAAGGCGGCUCACUGGACUGGUAUUGACGCGUGAGGUGCGAAAGCGUGGGGAGCAAACAGG
rnacentral:rRNA from 1 species